rnacentral:lncRNA from 1 species
GUGUCUGUGUAUUUAGCCUUGUCUGCCCCAGUGUGUUUUGUGGGAUUGUCAUUCAUGUUACAUCGUGUCCUGUUCGUUAGGGUUAUUUUAAAUUAUUUUACAUUAUAGACAUUAUCUACAUUCGGACUUCGCCGUGUAAUCCAGACUGACCAAGUGGGGAGAGUGAGAGAGAGCGAGAGAGGUCGGAUCGCCAGGCCUAGCAUUCCUAUCCUUCCUGCGUGACGAAGGCCUCCGUGCCGCUCUUGACUUUGUUGAAAGUCUUUUGAGCUCCAUUUCAGUGCGCCUAUGGCUACCAGCAGCCGCUGUUUCCCGACUUGGAGGCAGAGUCCAGCGUUCCGUCUGCUCAGGCACUAGUCCGCCGCUGUCACCGGACCUGGAGCCGGGCUCGGCAAGUCCUUCUCAGCAGUUCUGCACCAUACUCUCAUCCGGAACUUCCACCGUCAGCAUCCCAAGUUUCCUGAGACAUCAGGUGCCAGGUACUGUAAGGGUUCCUGCUGUCCGUAAAUUGUUUAUUGUUGUUUGUACUUCCUGUUUUAUUUUGUUACUUACCUGUUCUCUCCCGUUUCAGUUAUGUCUACUUCCUGCCCCCCCAGAUGUUCCCAAUCUGUUCGUUAGUGUCUCCACCAGUGUCUCGUUACCCCGCCCACUUCCUGGUGUAUAUAGUCUGUGUGUUUUGUUCCCCUCAUUGCCAGUUCGUCUGUGUACCUUCGUGUCGUAG